rnacentral:rRNA from 1 species
GAUGAACGCUGGCGGCGUGCCUAAUACAUGCAAGUCGAGCGAACAGACGAGGAGCUUGCUCCUCUGGCGUUAGCGGCGGACGGGUGAGUAACACGUGGAUAACCUACCUAUAAGACUGGGAUAACUUCGGGAAACCGGAGCUAAUACCGGAUAAUAUAUUGAACCGCAUGGUUCAAUAGUGAAAGACGGUUUUGCUGUCACUUAUAGAUGGAUCCGCGCCGCAUUAGCUAGUUGGUAAGGUAACGGCUUACCAAGGCGACGAUGCGUAGCCGACCUGAGAGGGUGAUCGGCCACACUGGAACUGAGACACGGUCCAGACUCCUACGGGAGGCAGCAGUAGGGAAUCUUCCGCAAAGGGCGAAAGCCUGACGGAGCAACGCCGCGUGAGUGAUGAAGGUCUUCGGAUCGUAAAACUCUGUUAUUAGGGAAGAACAAAUGUGUAAGUAACUAUGCACGUCUUGACGGUACCUAAUCAGAAAGCCACGGCUAACUACGUG